AGUGAACGCUGGCGGUAGGCCUAACACAUGCCAGUCGAACGGCAGCACAGUAAGAGCUUGCUCUUACGGGUGGCGAGUGGCGGACGGGUGAGGAAUACAUCGGAAUCUACUUUUUCGUGGGGGAUAACGUAGGGAAACUUACGCUAAUACCGCAUACGACCUACGGGUGAAAGCAGGGGAUCUUCGGACCUUGCGCGAUUGAAUGAGCCGAUGUCGGAUUAGCUAGUUGGCGGGGUAACGGCCCACCAAGGCGACGAUCCGUAGCUGGUCUGAGAGGAUGAUCAGCCACACUGGAACUGAGACACGGUCCAGACUCCUACGGGAGGCAGCAGUGGGGAAUAUUGGACAAUGGGCGCAAGCCUGAUCCAGCCAUACCGCGUGGGUGAAGAAGGCCUUCGGGUUGUAAAGCCCUUUUGUUGGGAAAGAAAAGCAGCAGGUUAAUACCCCGCUGUUCUGACGGUACCCAAAGAAUAAGCACCGGCUAACUUCGUG
rnacentral:rRNA from 1 species